AGUUUGAUCAUGGCUCAGAACGAACGCUGGCGGCACGCCUAACACAUGCAAGUCGAGCGCAGUCCUUCGGGACCGAGCGGCGGACGGGUUAGUAACGCGUGGGAACAUACCCAACUCUAAGGAAUAGCCUCUGGAAACGGAGAGUAAUACCUUAUACGCCCUUCGGGGGAAAGAUUUAUCGGAGAUGGAUUGGCCCGCGUUAGAUUAGAUAGUUGGUGGGGUAAUGGCCUACCAAGUCUACGAUCUAUAGCUGGUUUGAGAGGAUGAUCAGCAACACUGGGACUGAGACACGGCCCAGACUCCUACGGGAGGCAGCAGUGGGGAAUCUUAGACAAUGGGCGAAAGCCUGAUCUAGCGAUGCCGCGUGUGUGACGAAGGCCUUAGGGUCGUAAAGCACUUUCGCCAGGGAUGAUAAUGACAGUACCUGGUAAAGAAACCCCGGCUAACUCCGUGC
rnacentral:rRNA from 1 species